rnacentral:precursor_RNA from 16 species
CGUUGCCCGGAGACCCGCGGUGUCCAGUGCUGAUUGUCCAAACGCAAUUCUUGUUGACCUUUGAACCAAGAACUGCGCUGGACAUCAGCAAUUGACGCUGCCUACUCGACGUCCGGAAU